rnacentral:rRNA from 1 species
UGAGGAAUAUUGGUCAAUGGGCGUGAGCCUGAACCAGCCAAGUCGCGUGAGGGAAGACUGCCCUAUGGGUUGUAAACCUCUUUUGUCGGGGAGCAAAGCCGCCACGUGUGGUGGUUUGAGAGUACCCGAAGAAAAAGCAUCGGCUAACUCCGUGCCAGAAGCCGCGGUAAUACGGAGGAUGCGAGCGUUAUCCGGAUUUAUUGGGUUUAAAGGGUGCGUAGGCGGACGAUCAAGUCAGCGGUCAAAUGUCGGGGCUUAACCCCGGCCUGCCGUUGAAACUGGUUGUCUUGAGUGAGCGAGAGGUAUGCGGAAUGCGUGGUGUAGCGGUGAAAUGCAUAGAUAUCACGCAGAACCCCGAUUGCGAAGGCAGCAUACCGGUGCUCAACUGACGCUGAUGCACGAAAGCGUGGGGAUCAAACAGGA